rnacentral:misc_RNA from 1 species
AAAGUCGUAACAAGGUUUCCGUAGGUGAACCUGCGGAAGGAUCAUUACAGAGUUCGUGCCCUUCGGGGUAGACCUCCCACCCUUUGUAUACAUACCAUUGUUGCUUCGGCGGCCCGCCGCAAGGCCCCCGGCUCCGGCUGGGGCGUGGCCGCCGGAGGAAAACCAAACCCUGAAUUACAGUGUCGUCCGAGUACUAUAUAAUAGUUAAAACUUUCAACAACGGAUCUCUUGGUUCUG